GUCCGUUUCGCUGACCUUGGUCUAUGUGCAUGUUUUGGUGAUUGUGAUGAGUUUGUAGAUCUUAAUUUACUGAACAUUCUUGCUGCUUACAAUUAUCUCUAUCCAUAAUGAACUUGGCCCAGUUGUUUUAAAGGAAAUUUGCAAAAUUUACGAAAAUUGUUAAAUAUUGUUUAUAAAGCCAUUAAAGGGCAAUAAGUCUUUAAGGGGUCAAAAGACCAGUUAAGUCAUGUUCACUUAUUUUUAGAUCUUACUUUGCUGUACAUUAUUGCUGUUUACAGUCUAUCUCUAUCUAUAAUAAUAUUAAAGAUAAUAACCAAAAAUGCAAAAUUUUCUAACAAUUCCCAAUUCAGGCGUAGCAAUCCAAUAAACGGUUGAUUGAUUUGUCUGAAAAUUUUAAGGGUAGAUUUAUCGUCACCAAAUGAACAAUUUGACUGUCAGAUUUGCUCUAAAUGCUUUGGUUUUUGAGUUAUGAGCCAAAAACUGUAUUUUACCCCUAUGUUCUAUUUUUAGCCAUUUCGGUCAUCUUCGUAAGCGGGCGGGGUCAUCGGACAUAUUUUCAAACUAGAUACCCUACACAUGAUCGUGGCCAAGAUUGGUUAAAUUUGUCUAAGUAGUUUCAGAGGAGAAUAUUUUUGUAAAAGAUUACAAAAAAUUACAUAAAAUUGUUAAAAUUUUACUAUAAAGGGCAAUAACUCCUUGUAGGGUCAACUGAUAAUUUUGGUCAUGUUUGACUUAUUUGUAGACCUUACUUUGCUGAACAUUAUUGCUGUUUACAGUUUAUAUCUAUAUAUAAUAAUAUUCAAGAUAAUAACCCAAAACUGCAACUUUUCCUUAAAAUUACCAAUUAUGGGGCAGCAACCCAACAACUUGUUGUCUGAUUCAUUAGAAAAAAAAUCAGGACAGAAAGAUCUUGGCCUGAUUAACAUAUUUACCCCAUGUCAGAUUUUCUCUAAAUGCUUUGGUUUCAGAGAUAUAAGCCAAAAACUACAUUUUACGCCUAUGUUCUAUUUUUAGCCAUGUCGGCCAUCUUUGUUAGCGGGCGGGGUCAUCAAACACAUUUUUUAAACUAGAUACCCUAGUAAUGAUUGUGGUCUAGUUUCAGAAGAUUUUUAUAAAAGUUAACGGACGACGGAUAACGGACAUCGGACGCCAAGUGAUGAAAAAAGCUCAUUUGGCCCUUUGGGCCAGGUGAGCUUAUAAUAAAGUAGUAAAAUGCAUGACAGUGUUCAAAGCUUAAAAUUCAGUGUUCCCAUUUCCUGUUUUCACUUUUCUAUUAACC
rnacentral:lncRNA from 1 species